GACGUAGGGUGCAAGCGUUGCUCGGAAUUACUGGGCGUAAAGGGCGUGUAGGCGGCUUGGUAAGCGGGAUGUGAAAUCCCCCGGCUCAACCGGGGAAGUGCAUUCUGUACUGCCAGGCUUGAGUUCGGGAGAGGGAAGUGGAAUUCCCGGUGGAACGGUGAAAUGUGUAGAUAUCGGGAGGAACAUCGGUGGCGAAGGCGGCUUCCUGGCCCGACACUGACGCUGAAACGCGAAAGCGUGGGUAGCAAACAGG
rnacentral:rRNA from 1 species